rnacentral:misc_RNA from 1 species
GUCUCCUGAUUCCAGCGCUCAGUCUCCUACACAUGGCGCGCGCGCUCACCCAGCUCUUCCCCUUCCAGCAGCUGAGCACGCCGUCCCUCCCUAUUUUAGCUCGCCUCUGUCCUCCAUGGUCCGGUCAGGGACACCCACGUCGAGCUCCAUCACACGCACGCUCAGCUCCAGCUCAGUCGAGCUCGUCCCUGCGAGCGCGUUCUCCUGCGUCCAGCCGGGCGCGCGAAGCUUCUCUGCUCACGGCGCUCCCUGUCUGCUCGGCCAUGGUGAAACCCUCCCUGCCAUGGACGCCGGAGUUCCUCUGCUCGUUCUCAUGGCCGCCGUCGAGCUUCCGGCGCACGCCCAUCUCCUCUGCU